rnacentral:ribozyme from 1 species
UCUGUUUUUUCUUAUGUGUUUCCCGACUUUUUCUUUGUCUUUAACUGUUCUCCUCUUCGCCCCUUGUGCUCAUCUUAGGAAGAGGAGGAGAAUAGUCUAAGGCCAUAUUAUUAUUAUAUCAUGAGGUAUUCCGCAUGAUACUUAUUUUCAUUUGUUUUUCUUU